GACGAACGCUGGCGGCGUGCUUAACACAUGCAAGUCGAACGGAAAGGCCCUGCUUUUGUGGGGUGCUCGAGUGGCGAACGGGUGAGUAACACGUGAGUAACCUGCCCUUGACUUUGGGAUAACUUCAGGAAACUGGGGCUACUACCGGAUAGGAGCUCCUGCUGCAUGGUGGGGGUUGGAAAGUUUCGGCGGUUGGGGAUGGACUCGCGGCUUAUCAGCUUGUUGGUGGGGUAGUGGCUUACCAAGGCUUUGACGGGUAGCCGGCCUGAGAGGGUGACCGGCCACAUGGGGACUGAGAUACGGCCCAGACGCCUACGGGAGGCAGCAGUGGGGAAUAUUGCACAAUGGGCGGAAGCCUGAUGCAGCAACGCCGCGUGCGGGAUGACGGCCUUCGGGUUGUAAACCGCUUUCGCCUGUGACGAAGCGUGAGUGACGGUAAUGGGUAAAGAAGCACCGGCUAACUACGUG
rnacentral:rRNA from 1 species